rnacentral:misc_RNA from 1 species
UGACAGCCAUUUCCAUGCCU